UACGGGAGGCAGCAGUGGGGAAUUUUGGACAAUGGGCGAAAGCCUGAUCCAGCAAUGCCGCGUGUGUGAAGAAGGCCUUCGGGUUGUAAAGCACUUUUGUCCGGAAAGAAAUGGCUCUGGUUAAUACCUGGGGUCGAUGACGGUACCGGAAGAAUAAGGACCGGCUAACUACGUGCCAGCAGCCGCGGUAAUACGUAGGGUCCAAGCGUUAAUCGGAAUUACUGGGCGUAAAGCGUGCGCAGGCGGUUGUGCAAGACCGAUGUGAAAUCCCCGAGCUUAACUUGGGAAUUGCAUUGGUGACUGCACGGCUAGAGUGUGUCAGAGGGGGGUAGAAUUCCACGUGUAGCAGUGAAAUGCGUAGAGAUGUGGAGGAAUACCGAUGGCGAAGGCAGCCCCCUGGGAUAACACUGACGCUCAUGCACGAAAGCGUGGGGAGCAAACAGGAUUAGAUACCCUGGUAGUCCACGCCCUAAACGAUGUCGAACUAGUUGUUGGGGAUUCAUUUCCUUAGUAACGUAGCUAACGCGUGAAGUUGACCGCCUGGGGAGUA
rnacentral:rRNA from 1 species